AGUUUAGCCGUUGCGGGCGAGGCGGAAGGACGUAGAAGCUAUCUGCCUUGGCCCUGUUGCGCUUCAUUUCGGUAGAGCAUUAUCGCACGCGGACCUCAUUUUUGCUGUGGUCUCAGACGGGCUUUCAGUUCUUGAGGCAUGGAAAGGACAACAAAUCACGUUACAGACAUUUGGAUUUAGUUGACAACAGCCAUACGUCCCAUAGGAUGGGAUUGCGUUUGUGUAACCUUCUCCGAGCAACUCGCUAAACACUGCGCAUCCUGACGGAUUAAGUUUUUACUACUGCAAGUGGGAGCUUUUUGAGAUGCGGCGCGGCGGCCUGCCGCGGGAUGGAUGAGGAGUGGCUGGUGGUGGCCGCGUGUGUCGCCGUGGCGUCGCUCACCGUGCUGGCCGUGGUCGCCUGCUACGUGCGCGUCCUCUCCCAGCUGUGCUGCUCCACGCGGGACGUCCGGUGCAUAGGCUGGUGCUAAGCCUUUCCUGAAGACGGCAUCUGGUGUUGGAAACGUAGAAGCACGGCGCCGGGUUGGUGCGACCAGGAUGGCACCGGCUCACCGCCAGACAGCGGCAUCGCAGCCAAUUCGUCGGCUGGAACACCUCUGGACAGGAAGAAGUCUUCCAGCGUGUCGGCGAUGAACGCCAGACCGCGCGUCCGCUACUAUGCGACGCUUUCACGGUGCAGUGUGCGUAAUGAGACUGUGGACCCUGUAGAUGGGAUUCGAUCCUCGUGGGGCGCUGAGUUCUCACGAGUCCGACAGCGCACCUGCAGCAAUGGUGAAAGCCUAAGACGACGGAACUCUAAGUGCCUAUCUACACGCUCCUUAUGCCGUGCGCUAAAGAAGAACGCGACAGUAUUUGUGUAUUUAAACGUACAGCAGUAUUAAACACAGAGCUGUCAUGGCGUCAAGUCUGGAAACAGAGUAUGUAGUUCUUCAUUUGUUUGGAACUGCUGCAGUAUAGACCGUGGUAUUGGACAAUGCGAAAAGAAGAAAGCUGUGGUAAUGUGAAAAGUACUGAAUGAUCAGACGGCAGGAUAGGGGAAUCGAAAAGACUCAUUCGAAAAUAUUCUCAGAGGACGAAUCUUCGUCUUAAAUCUAUUUGAGAAUGAGUGACUGUAAUGACCGAUUCGUAGUAAACAUUAGAGUCGCUGUCUUGAUUCCUCGAGGCCGAGUCGAGAAAACGAUGUAUGUUAUGGGUAAACAUCCGUUCGUUGUCAUUCUUAGGUUUUUAUUUCAGACACCUAUUCCGUAGCGAAAGCUCCAUCAUCUGGCUUUUCACGAUCUACUCGAGGUUUUUCGUCAUGACGUAGUUAAGCAGUCGCAGUUGCAUAAUCUAUUUUGUGAGAAUCUGCUUCACUACUUAGAUUAAAUUCGCCGCGAGCUACCAACGAAGCAGGUUCAUGCAGCUGCGACUGAUCCACAUGAUCACUACGGAAAUCUCGAGUAGACCCUGAAAACCCUCAUGAUGGGGCUUACACCGAAACAUACGUAGGGGAAAUAAAAAUUUGGAAAACCGAAAUGCAGGCAGCAACUAGACUUUCAUUAACCAAAUAUAAAUCUAUCAUUGUGUCAGUGUAAUACGUGAAGCAAUUUCGGAUACUAUUAAAAAAAAAAAAAAACACAACCGGGAGGCUGUCAUCAUAUUAUUUCCAGCACAACUACCGAGCGAGGUGGCGCAGUGGUUAGACACUGGACUCGCAUUCGGGAGGACGACGGUUCAAUCCCGCGUCCGGCCAUCCUGAUUUAGCUUUUCCGUGAUUUCUCUAAAUCGCUCCAGGCAAAUGCCGGGAUGGUUCCUUUGAAAGGCCACGGCCGACUUCCUUCCCUAAUCCGAUGAGACCGAUGACCUCGCUGUCUGGUCUCCUUCCCAAAACCAACCAACCAACCAACCAGCACAACUUCUCUUUAAAGUUCCAAUGGCACGACUUUACUAUCAUGUUUUAAAGCACCGCAUAUUUCAUUCACUGCGGCUAUACGUUUGCUCUACACUCUGCAAGGCACCUUACGGAGUGUGGCGGUGGGUGUUUUGCGCUCCGCCAACAGUCUCUCGCUUUUCCUGCUCUGACCGCGAAUGACACGCGGGUAGAACGAAUAUUCGUAAGCCUCCAUGUAGGCUCGAAUCUCUCCAGUUGUACCUCCGUGGUGUGUCCGCGACGUAUGAGAAACCAAUACGUUCGUUGUCUCUUUUAAGAAUUUACGCUUUCAGAAUGGCGUACACUCCUCAGCGAUACACAACGCCUCUCUUGUAGCAUCUGCGACUACAAAUGGAUGAACAUUUCCGCGACGCUGUCGCACUUACUGAAUGAUCCCGGGAGCAAUCUCAUCGCUAUUCUAUCGAUCUGCUCUAUUUUCUACAGCAAACCCGCUGGAGAAAAUGACAGGCAACUAUCGGUGGAAUGACGGUUUUUAAGCUAUCUCCCUAGUGGGUAGAACACAUUUUGUGUGAUUUCUCUCAAAGAAUCUCAGUCUGGCAUCUGCCUUUCCGGCGAUUGUAACUAUAAGGUUUGUGUCAGUCAUUGCACACACGUACACAUUUUAACUAUCGAUUAUACUGGUUUCAAUUUCUAAGUUAUUAUCAAUAUCGCUAUAAAAUAAUAAACAGUGGAGAGAAACACAAAUGUAAACAUUGCAUUAUGAAAGUAAUUGUACAGGUAUGUAUAUGGGACAAAUUUGGUAACCGUAACUAAUAGAUCCUUCUUUGGCGUCAGGUGGUUAAAAACCACACAAUCUCUCGACCGGGCUCUUCUCGGCCAGUGUCAAGUGGUGUUUUGAGGCAUAUUUAUUUCUACAGCUUCUUUUAUGACGCUAUUCCAAAGCCUCUAAGUCCUCUUAACUAUAGAUGUUUCUUCGAAAUUAAUCGGGUAUUCUGUCAUGGCUGAUUUUUCACGACAACGUAAGCCUAAACAACUCCUUCUUCACGAUGCGUACUGUUUGGUCGACGUAGCAGCAGCGACAUAAUGCUAUCUUAUAGAAGUCAGAAUGCUUGGAGUGUAGACCGUCCUUCACCGGCCCCGUGAGCCGUCGUACUUUUGCUGGGGGCCUGAACACUGAUGAAAUGUUGUGUCUCUUCAGAAGCCGAGUAAUCAUUCCUGACACUGUUCCACAGAAACACAGGUUUCUUGUUCUCCUCUUCCGUGGUGUUCCUUUGCGUGCCUCGCCCGAAAUAGUGUGUAUUAUUUGGCGGUGACUGUAGUCGUUUCCCACAAGACUUUUCGAAGGUGGCUUAGUUCUAGUGGCAGGUUUUCAGCGACUGAGGUGACUUUAGCCCGGUGGACGAGGCUGAUCAGAACGCCAGAUACCCAAGAAGAUUUUAUUAAUGGGUAUCGCCGCGAGACGAUGCAUUCGUACAUCGGUAGCGUAAUGUAUCUUGGCCGACGCUUGCAUCAGACUAAGGUAGGAGCGAACGUAUCUUGACGGCUCGUACAAGAGCACUCAGCAGCAGCACUCAGCACUCCGUCUAAAGGCCUCAAGUGGCCCAUUGGGACCGUCCGACCGCCGUGUCAUCCUCAGAUGAGGAUGCGGAUAGGAGAGGGUUGUGGUCAGCACACCGCUCUCCCGGUCGUUAUGAUGGUUUUCCGUGACCGGAGCGGCUACUGUUCGGUCGAGUAGCUCCUCAAUUGGCAUUACGAGGCUGAGUGCACCCCGAAAACCGGCAACAGCGCAUGGCGACCCGGAUGGUCACCAAUCCAAGUACCGGCCACGCCCGAGAGCGCUUAACUUUGGUGAUCUGACAGGAACCGGUGUAUCCACUCCGGCAAGGCCACUGCCGUAGUAUAGGACUGAGUUACCUUUUUUAUUUACUGUAAUAUGAGUUAACCACAAAGGGGCGGGCUGCUAGUGGAAACCAAGUCGCUUCAGCCGAAGAUUUCACACAUUUAAGCGAUGUCUUAAAAUAUAAAAAAAGAUGAAACUACAGUUUUUUUAAAUAGACUUUUUUGGGCGAAAAAGCACUCUGUCUUCAGGCCACGAGUGGCAUACCGGGACCAUCCGACCGCCAUGUCAUCCUUAGUGGAGGAUGCGGGUAGGAGGGGCGUGGGGUCAGCACACUGCUCUCCCGGUCGUUACGAUGGUUUUCUUGACUGAAGCCGCUACUAUUCGGUCUAGUACCUGUUCAAUUGGCAUCACGAGGCUGAGUACACCCCGAAAAAUGGUAACAGCGCAUGGCGGACCUGAUGGUCACCCAUCCAAGUGCCGACCACGCCCGACAGCGCUUAACUUCGGUGAUCUCACGGGAACCGGUGCAUCCACUGCGGCAAGGCCGUUGGCCUUUGGUGGAUAACUGUCACGAAUUUUAAAGCUUUUUGGAUGAUUUUAUAUUAGAACUAGUAUACAGUUACCCAAGGCAACGUUAACACAUUGCCGUCACCACAAUGGUGUUGUGAGCCUAGUAUCGCGCAGUGGCAGGCGACAGCACUUUAGUAUCUUUUUCAUUCUGUUGGUGUUUUGUUGAGGUGACAAUAAUCUACACAUGUCAACAAUUUUUUUGUUUUUAUACGCACUUGUGCCCUUUCAUCAUGGCAGUCGAAAGAGACGGUACUAUUAUUUAGGCGGAGUAAAACUUCGAGGUUGCCACUACAUCGCGUACGUCUCAUCAUGGUCCGGUUGACAGACUUUCUGGUCACAUAAAGUAACACCAACUAAUGGGCCUACGUAUUUCCGAAACCAAUAAACGAAAAACGAAGAAACUGCUAUGUAUGUUACAAAAACAGAAAAAAAGAAUGUGCAAUCUUGUGGAGUUGCGUUACAUCUGGGAGUAAUAGAGUGUUUAACUGAAUGAAUAAAUUCAAGAAAGGACCCUAUAUUAUCUGUAACAGGUGAAUAUGUUUGGAUGCUCUAUAUUAGAGACUUUCAAUCACUUUCGUAAGGGAUGCAUCGCUGACUUAACGUACUUCAAUUUUCAGAGAGUUGCUGCUAUUUCUGAAAGUACUGAUGCACACGAGACUCGAAACGUUUCAUUUUGUGCUGCUGCAAAACUGCUCAGAUGUUGAUGAGAACUGUUGUGUGAUGUCCUUAGAUUAGUUAGGUUUAAGUAGUUCUAAGUUCUAGGGGACUGAUGGCCAUAGAUGUUAAAUUCCAUAGUGCUCAGAGCCAUUGGAACCAUUUUGUUGUUGUUGAUGAGAACACCAUAUAGACCGGUAUCAGGAUUCACCUGCAUUCAGCGUAUGGCACGCAAGGCUAAUAAUGUAGUGUACCAAAUGCCGGAAAAAUCAAAAACUUUGGAGCACUAAACAACGAAAUCCUACAAUUCGCGCUCAUACUAAGUUAAUAAGCUGCAUUUAGCUCUGAACAAACAACUAUAGCAAAUUUCCUUUAGUACAUAAAAAGUCGGUAAACAGCAUGUGGUUGCUGUUUGUUCAUAAAUCAAAUUGCUAAGUUAUAGUUACAUAUAUAAAUGAGACAUUAUGUUUGUAAUGUAACUCAUGGAGGAGGCGCUGUAAUCAAAAGUGCCUAAGUUUACCACCACAAUGGCCGCCGAGGCACUUUUUAGAUUGUUCGCUGUUCCCAGCAGGCCACAUAAGGGACUGUGGCCUUGCAAUUUUCACAGCAGUGAGUGUUGCAACUGCACAUGUUAGACUCGACUUAGCAGUUCACGAUUAUCUCUGGAUUACCAUAGCGACUGAUCAACAGCUACCUAUAAACGAUCUGACAUACAAGUUUCUUAGCUGCUAUUUAAUAAUAACUACUAAGCCCUCAACGAUCUAUACGUAAAUAGAACCUGCAGCCACAAUAUGAGUUUAUAAAAUAAAAGUGUGUGUGAAAUCUUAUGGGACUUAACUGCCACGGUCAUCAGUCCCUAAGCUUACACACUACUUAACCUAAAUUAUCCUAAGGACAAACGUACACACCGAUGCCAGAGGGAGGACUCGAACCUCCACCGGGACCAGCCGCACAGUUCAUGACUGCAGCGCCUUGGACCGCUCAGCUAAUCCCGCGCGGCUACCGAAGACAAUCAAAAUAAAUAUAUGAAACAAUCAAAUUUUGUAUUUAUUUACGUAUGUAUAUCUCUGAAAUUUCAUCAGUGCGGGGAAAGUGGGGAAACAGGGUUGAGAACCUAUCAGAAGUAACGAUAAGAUUAGUAAAAUGUAAUGAUUUAUAACCUCCCGAUAAUGUCAAGAACGGCCGGCGACAAGCCAAGUAAUCCCAAUGAGCGCUGCCGGCGCCAAGAGAAUAAAUUUGUGCGAGAUGUGCGGACGGCAUGAUGAAGAUGCUGGUGGUGUAUCAAAAUAAUGAUGAUACGGAAGUGGAACGAUGAGCAAGGCUGUUGGCCACUGCGGAACCGCUGCUAGUCAUUAAAAGUCAUUGAGGGGAAGCAGCAAACUGGAAUGGUUGCGUAAGGUGUGGCGUUCUUACUGCGGCUAGAAACAAGGAUAAAUCUCAGGACGAAUUUGGUGAUUGGGUAGUAGGAGUUUGUUGAAGUUGCGGUGUGCCAGGAUGGAUAUGGCAUGGGA